AGGAUAUUGUUUGGGGGCGGAUUUGGAGGUUAUGUAGCAAGUUGUAUCAUAGAGCUCCCUUUGUUUUGAUCGAGUUUCUUUUUUGUUGUCACUAAGUGAGACAAGAAGCUCAAAUCGUUCUCAUUUUCCUGCAUGGAAGUAUUUAUCGUUCAGAGUUAUUUCUGCGUAGAAAUUAAUCUCCACAGCAAAGGCUGUCCCAUCUGCUACAUCAAUGAACUGAUUAAAGAGAUCCUUGGAUAUGAAGGCAUACAAACUCUUGCUGCUCAUUCUUCCUCCUUGAGCUGUAGAAAGAUUCCUGCGGUAAAGCUAUACUCUCUCUUUAUCUUAUUUUCAAUGAGGAUUUUUCUUGGGGGAUUAUGGCCGUCCUUCUUUCAGUUUCUCUCAGGAUAAUUGGAGGUAUUUUUUGUGCUUAUAGUUUGUGCUUUCAAGUCUGUUCAAGGUUAAAUAGUAUUGCCGUUUGUUUACUAUCAGUUUAAGGAGCUUGUGUUUGGAUCCACAUAACAAGUCAAUUAUAAUAUUUAGUCAAGUGAUAGGAUAAUGACAGUUAAAAUAAAAAUUACACAGUUUCUUUCUUCCUUUUGCUGAAGAAAAAUUCUUUUAAACCCUUUUCUACUAUGUAAUACAAUUUACAAAGCAAGAUGCAUAUUGUUACCGAAAUUUUAUUUCUAUAGAUUUGCCUAUCUAAAUGGAACAUGAGUAAUCAGGACUUAUGAAAACACUGAGUUCUGUCAAGUCACUGGAACAAUCUUGAAAAUGCUGAGUUCACUUGUGUUUGUAUGUAGUAUUAUAAUGUAACGUUCCAUUAUUACGCCAUUGCAUUUGUGAAUUGGCAGACUAUUUUUCAUAACAAUUUUGAAGGUGAUUGGAAGAAGUAAAACUCUGAUUAUGAGAAUUUGAUGUUGAUCUUAAUUGUUAUUGUUGUGGGUGUAGAUAUCAUAUUGCACUUGUAAUCUCUAGCCAAAUGAGAGAAGCUACCCUUUUUUAAGAGGUACUGGAAGGAGAGGCAGGCGAUAUAUGAGUUCUUUUAACUGUUAAAAACUUUUUGUGUUGAAUUUGAUUGUUAGUACAUUAGAAUCUUGAUUUUAGUUGGGUGAAAUGGUUUAUUGACUAUUGACAUGGUGGUGGAAGCCAGCUGCAAGCAUUGAUAAAACAGGCCUUCAAAUUGCCAUUGUUUGCCUCUUCUACUGCUUUCUUAAAUUUUCCCUUGCUGUAUAUACAAGACCAAAUUCUCAGAUGAUAUGUUUAGAAUAUUAUGGACUUGGGCUGUUCAUUUCUGUUUGCAGAUUUCUGUGGAACAUGUAUCAUAAUUGAAUUGUUAUAAUAAUAAAU